rnacentral:rRNA from 1 species
GACGAACGCUGGCGGCGUGCUUAACACAUGCAAGUCGAACGGAAAGGCCCUGCUUGUGUGGGGUGCUCGAGUGGCGAACGGGUGAGUAACACGUGAGUAACCUGCCCUAGACUUUGGGAUAACUUCAGGAAACUGGGCCUAAUACCGGAUAGGAGCCCCUGCUGCAGGGAGGGGGUGGGAAAUUCUCGGCGGGUGGGGAUGGACUGGCGGCUUAUCAGCUUGCUGGUGGGGUAGUGGCUUACCAAGGCUUGGACGGGUAGCCGGCCUGAGAGGGUGACCGGCCACAUUGGGACUGAGAUACGGCCCAGACUCCUACGGGAGGCAGCAGUGGGGAAUAUUGCACAAUGGGCGGAAGCCUGAUGCAGCAACGCCGCGUGCGGGAUGACGGCCUUCGGGUUGUAAACCGCUUUCGCCUGUGACGAAGCGUGAGUGACGGUAAUGGGUAAAGAAGCACCGGCUAACUACGUG